CAAAAAAUGAUUCGGGCUCGGCCGAUCCUCCCACCCUUUGUGUACCUACCUCUGUUGCUUUGGCGGGCCGCGGUCCUCCGCGGCCGCCCCCCUCCCCGGGGGGGUGGCCAGCGCCCGCCAGAGGACCAUCAAACUCCAGUCAGUAAACGAUGCAGUCUGAAAAACAUUUAAUAAACUAAAACUUUCAACAACGGAUCUCUUGGUUCUGGCAUCGAUGAAGAACGCAGCGAAAUGCGAUAAGUAAUGUGAAUUGCAGAAUUCAGUGAAUCAUCGAAUCUUUGAACGCACAUUGCGCCCUUUGGUAUUCCGAAGGGCAUGCCUGUUCGAGCGUCAUUACAACCCUCAAGCUCUGCUUGGUAUUGGGCACCGUCCUUUGCGGGCGCGCCUCAAAGACCUCGGCGGUGGCGUCUUGCCUCAAGCGUAGUAGAACAUACAUCUCGCUUCGGAGCGCAGGGCGUCGCCCGCCGGACGAACCUUCUGAACUUUUCUCAAGGUUGACCUCGGAUCAGGUAGGGAUACCCGCUGAACUUAAGCAUAUCAUAACCCGGAGGAA
rnacentral:rRNA from 1 species